UUUUUUUUUUUUUUUUUUUUUUUUUUUUGCUUUUUAGGGCCACAGGUGUGACCUAUGAAAGUUCCCAGGCUAGGAGUUGAAUCAGAGCUACAGCUGCCAGCCUACACUAGAGCCACAGCAAUGCAAGAUCUGAGCCGCACCAUAGCUCAUGGCAAUGAUGGAUCCUUAACCCACUGAGUGAAGCCAGGGAUGGAACCCACGUCCUCAUGGAUACUAGUUGGGUUCGUUUCCACUGAGCCACGAUGAGAGCGCCGAGAUUUCUUUUUUCAAGUAACAAAGACAGUUUAUGAAGUGCACUGUUUUAAGAUGUCAGAGUCCUCUGAGUAACUUCACAUAUCCAGUCAUAUCUAAGAUGCUGCUCCCGAAUGUGAUUGGCACAGUAUAUAUUUUCUCUUUUUGACACAAACAUGCGCAAACAUCCACACGUAACACACAAAUACAUAUUCUUUCUUCUCUGUCUGUGAUUUGCAUGCAAAGUUUUCUUGGCUGUUAUUUUCUCUUUCUCCCCCAGGAGGGCUUAGCCUCUGGGAGGAGGGUGUAUCUUAAGCAGUCCUGAGAAAAGAAGCCUCUGUCCUUCCCAAUGACCUUCUCUGAGCCUUCCCAGCCUGUCUUUCCUCUGUACCCCACCUUGCCUCGCCCACUGCCCACACCAGCUUCCCCUGCCUCAGCAUCUACAAACGCCUGUGCUCCAUCUUUAUAUGGGGCAGGAGCUGAGGAAAGAGGGAAGGGCUUCUGAUUGCUCAGUAUUUUUCCAGAGAAAUAUCUCUUACGCCUUCAGAUUAAACAGUUAUGGAAUGAGACAGUUACUGGAAUGGAAGCAGGUCGAAUUCAUGUAAAGGAUUAUGUGGAAUCCUGAGAAAUGAGUAGUGUCCCUUAUAUGUACCCAUUUUCACCUUGACAUGCCUGCCCUCGCUUGGCCCAUGGCCACCUUGCCANNNNNNNNNNNNNNNNNNNNNNNNNNNNNNNNNNNNNNNNNGCAGAGGUCACAUCUCAGACGCGCUCCUGCAAAGGGGAGGGAGUCGUCUGUGGCCUUUUCCAGAGAUUUCCUUCACUCUUCUCCAGAGGCUUUUUCAUCCAGUCAAUUCCUUCCUUUAUUGCUGCUUCAACAGACACCCCGUCUCCACCCCAGAAGGAAUGAGAAGAUUAACCUUACAAAUAUGUUUGGACCAAAUAAAUGAAGAAGUUUUACUCGUCCCCAGAAUGGCUUCUGGGAUGCCUUUGGGGAAGUUAAUGGUUUCCUGGGUGGGGUCACAGCCCUGAGUUGGGCAGGUGCCGUCCCUUGACCUUCUGAGGAUAACAGCCCACACCUGCUGAGCUCUUUGCUCCCUGAGUCGCCACACACGUAAGAGGAAGGGCCUAUCUAGUCCUCAUCUUAUGAUGAAAUAACGGAGACACAGAAAGGUUAGGUAGAGCCUGACCUGUAACUGCCCGAUUGAAAAUCUCUGCCUUUUUCCCAGCCAGCCUUUUCGCUGGUACCUAGGGGUUUCUGGAAGUUUGGCCCACGCCUGGCUGCCCGUGCAACCCCGUGUGCUCUGGGAGCCUUGUUUUCAGGUGGAGAUGAUGGGAGCACGAUUCUCAUUGCUUAUAUAGAACCCGCUUUAAGUCCUCUUACGUGGAUUAGCUCGUUUCACGAGGAGGAGGCGGGGCCGCUGCCUGCGAAGGAAAGACCCUCUCCUCCAUCAAGAAAACGUCUUCCGUGCUCCAGGAUUUGAUGCGUUAAGGUUAGGAGUCCCCAAGAAGAAGAUAAAGCAUGUUCAGUGUCCUAAAUGUGUGUGGUCCUGGGCCCCUUUGUGUGGUUAGAAGCAGAGGGCUGUUGUUGGGUAAGACACCUGUGAGAUGCUGGGCUUGGUGACCUGAAGUUUACCGUUUUUCCAGGGUAUGCAAGUUAAAUUUAGCUUCUCAGACUUUUUUGUUAAUUCUAGAAAGAAGCAGUACAUCUGGGGACAUGGUGUGGCCGAGGAUACCAGAAGGGGGUUGACGGUCCGAGGGAGUCUGGAGGAGAAAGGCACGGAGCAUGCAGGUAAGUGAUUGAAACUUUCCCAGCCUCGAGUUUCACAUCUAUGAAAUGGGUCUGAUGAUACCUCCCUUCAGGUGUUGUGAGGAGGAAAAAAAACGAGGAUGGCCCUUGGUACGGGGUAGGUGUGUAGUCAACAGCAGCUGUCAUUUAUUCUCCUGUUACCUUUUACACUGAGCGGUGUUGUCUUGGGCACAUUUUAAGAAAUGUGUACCAGGGAGCUUCCGUUGUGGAGCAGUGAAAACAAAUCCAACUGGUAUCUGUGAGGAUGCGGAUUUGAUCCCUGGCCUCAAUCAGUGGAUCAGGGAUCUGGGCAUUGCCAUGAGCUGUGUUGUAGGUUGCAGACGUGGUUCAGAUCUGAUGUUGCUGUGGCUGUGGUGUAAGCCAGCAGCUGUAGCUCUGAUUCAGCCCCUGGUCUGGCAACUUCCAGAUGCCACACAUUCAGCCCUAAAAAGCAAGCAAGCAGACAAGCAAGCAAGCUAAGAAAGAAAGGAAAGAAAGAGAAAUUCGUACUCCUGUUUCUUCACCUCUAAAACAGGAAUUGGUGUUCUUAAGACUACCGAACUGAUAGAAAACCUAGCUCAGGGCUAGACACUCAGUGGCUUCUCAAUAUGCGAUACUCACUUGCCCUCUGGCUGCCCUGCCCUCACGCAGGGAUCCCCCCCCCAGCCCCUUCAGCCCCCUUGCCUCCACCCUGGAGAAGAUGCGGGUUCCAAGGACGUGAAAACCUCUCACCUCUUAAUGCUUUUUCUGCCUUCUGCUUGGGCUAAUUCCUUUAUCCUGGGUUCAUUAAGCUCGCGUCCAUCAAGCCUCACAGUCU
rnacentral:lncRNA from 1 species